rnacentral:rRNA from 1 species
GACGAACGCUGGCGGCGUGCUUAACACAUGCAAGUCGAACGGUGAUGCUCCAGCUUGCUGGAGUGGAUCAGUGGCGAACGGGUGAGUAACACGUGAGCAACCUGCCCCAGACUCUGGAAUAAGCGCUGGAAACGGCGUCUAAUACUGGAUACGAAACUGGCCCGCAUGGGCAUGGUUUGGAAAUUUUUUCGGUUUGGGAUGGGCUCGCGGCCUAUCAGCUUGUUGGUGAGGUAAUGGCUCACCAAGGCGACGACGGGUAGCCGGCCUGAGAGGGCGACCGGCCACACUGGGACUGAGACACGGCCCAGACUCCUACGGGAGGCAGCAGUGGGGAAUAUUGCACAAUGGGCGAAAGCCUGAUGCAGCGACGCCGCGUGAGGGAUGACGGCCUUCGGGUUGUAAACCUCUUUCAGCAGGGAAGAAGCGAAAGUGACGGUACCUGCAGAAGAAGCACCGGCUAACUACGUG